GGCCUCCUAACACUUACCACAGGCUGUGUUUGUUACACUGACUGUAUAGAAAGAGGAGGCACAGUAAAUGCUCCCCAUAUACAUGUCAAACUAGGCCCUUUGCCUGGUCUGUAUUGUGAAUGGGGUACAAAA